UUUAGUGUGAGUACAUAAAUGUUGAUUCUUUCCGUACUUAUAUUGAUACGUAUUUGCAUUGACGACUCGUACCAUUUUGAAGGCGGACUACAUGAGGGCAGACGCAGACGACUUUACGGUUGCCAGGCACUUCGAGGCCUACUUACUGUGGUUGUUCGGCUGGGUCAUGUUCUGCAGCUCGCAGGGUGACUCGUGCCCCAAACAGCUCAUUCCUUUGGCGAGGUCAAUAGCUGACAUUCCACUUCACGAGAUGCCAUAGUUCAGCUGGGGUUCUGCUAUUUUGGCUGCGAGUUACAGGGGUCUUUGCACGGGCGUGACGAAGGUCUCAACAGAGGAGCCCAUUUUUGUUGGGUGUCCUCUACUGUUACAGCUCUGGUCUUACGAGCGCUUUCCCGUCGGUAGGCCAGAGAUGGACUUCGAGCCGUACGUCCAGCUGUCCGCAGACCACGACGACGUCGACAGACCUACGAUGGGUUCAUUGUGGUGCCUCAGGAGGCCUUCUUGGGUCGGCGUGCAGACGAGGAAGUCGUACCACGACUUCGUUGGAUAGUUUGACGCUCUUGUGGACACGGACGUGAGGUGGACUCCGUACACUGCAGCCGACAUUUACGCCCGGGCACGGACGUGAGGAGGAGAGGGGGCAAGCGCGGACACAUCUAGUUUACAGGUUGUAGCUUGUUAAUUACUUUGUUCCGUCAUACUAUAUUAUGUAUGCAUGUGCAGACUAUGAUUCGAUGUGUCCAUUACGUACCAUUAUGAUGAGUAGGCCGGUGCAAUGUUUCGGGCGAUGGUA